CGCGACGUGGCGGAGUCUGGUAGACGCGCUACCUUGAGGUGGUAGUGGCCGAAAGGCCGGGCAGGUUCGACCCCUGUCGUCGCGACCA
rnacentral:tRNA from 1 species